rnacentral:misc_RNA from 1 species
GGAAGUAAAAAUCGUAACAAGGUCUCCGUUGGUGAACCAGCGGAGGGAUCAUUACCGAAGUUACCCUUCAAACCCUUGUGAACCUUACCGCUGCCGCGCUGUUUCCUCGGCGGAGGCGCGGGUCCGGGGCCGCCCCUCAGGGGGUCGUCCCGCCACCCCCGUCCCCGCCGGCAGCGCCAAACUCUUGCUCUGCAUAGCGGACUGUAUGUUCUGAUUUACAAUAAAAACAAGUCAAAACUUUCAACAACGGAUCUCUUGGUUCUGGCAUCGAUGAAGAACGCAGCGAAAUGCGAUAAGUAAUGUGAAUUGCAGAAUUCAGUGAACCAUCGAAUCUUUGAACGCACAUUGCGCCCGGCAGUAUUCUGCCGGGCAUGCCUGUCCGAGCGUCAUUUCUGCCCUCGAGCGCGGUUCGGCCCUAGGGCCGUCCGCCGCCCGGCGUUGGGGCGCUACGGGGAUGUCCCCGUAGGCCCCGAAAUGUAGUGGCGGUCCCGCCGCGGCGCCCCCUGCGUAGUAGACAUACAACCGCAUCGGGUCCCGGCGGAGGCCAGCCGUCAAACCUUUACUUCUGAUAGUUUGACCUCGGAUCAGGUAGGGUUACCCGCUGAACUUAAGCAUAUCAAUAA